rnacentral:rRNA from 1 species
UACGUAGGGGGCAAGCGUUGUCCGGAUUUACUGGGCGUAAAGCGCCUGUAGGCGGCCUGUCAAGUCCGGCCUGAAAGCCCCCCGCUCAACGGGGGAGGGUGGCUGGAAACUGGCAGGCUUGAGGGCGAGAGAGGAGGGUGGAAUUCCUGGUGUAGCGGUGAAAUGCGCAGAUAUCAGGAAGAACACCCGUGGCGAAGGCGGCUCUCUGGGACGGUACUGACGCUGAGACGGCGAAAAGCGUGGGGAGCGAACAGG